rnacentral:rRNA from 1 species
GACGAACGCUGGCGGCGUGCUUAACACAUGCAAGUCGAACGGAAAGGCCCUGCUUGCAGGGUACUCGAGUGGCGAACGGGUGAGUAACACGUGGGUGAUCUGCCCUGCACUUCGGGAUAAGCCUGUUCAACUGGGUCUAAUACCGGAUAGGAGCCAUUUUUAGUGUGAUGGUUGGAAAGUUUUUUCGGUGUAGGAUGAGCUCGCGGCCUAUCAGCUUGUUGGUGGGGUAAUGGCCUACCAAGGCGGCGACGGGUAGCCGGCCUGCGAGGGUGGACGGCCACAUUGGGACUGAGAUAAGGCCCAGACUCCUAAGGGAGGCAGAAGUGGGGAAGAUUGAACAAUGGGCGCAAGCCUGAUGAAGCGACGCCGCGUGGGGGAUGACGGCCUUCGGGUUGUAAACUCCUUUCGCUAGGGACGAAGCUUUUUGUGACGGUACCUAGAUAAGAAGCACCGGCUAACUACGUG